UAAAAUUUUGCACCAAAUCAUCGUGUUUCCAAAAAGGUGUUUUUUUUUUUUAAAGAUUUUAUUUUUUCCUCUUUCUCCCCAAAGCCCCCUGGUACAUAGUUGUAUAUUCUUCAUCGUGGGUCCUUCUAGUUGUGGCAUGUGGGACGCUGCCUCAGCGUGGUCUGAUGAGCAGUGCCAUGUCUGCGCCCAGGAUUCGAACCAACGAAACACUGGGCUGCCUGCAGCGGAACGUGCGAACUCAACCACUUGGCCAUGGGGCCAGCCCCCAAAAAGGUGUUUUUAAGUUACUUGCAUUCAUUGCCUUUUCAGUUGCUGAUCAUUCUGUCAUAUUCAGUAGUUGUCAGCUAAUCCUCAGUGAAAAUCAAGCUGAUUCAGUGUCAUCGACUGCCACUGAUCUCAGAACAAGUGUAGAUCUCGUGUUACUGUUCAGAUUUUUUGCAAGUCUUGUGGGAAUGUGAGAUAGUUAGGCUGGGAUAUCACAAAGAGUGCCAUGUGGCUGGAAACCCUACAGGUAGGCCUCAGGAGGAAUGUGGAUGAGUGGACCCUUGAGCGUCUGGGUUGUGCCGUCUCUAAUAUGUUGUUCAGUUUUUGCGCAGGGCUAGUGAGAAUUUGCAGAUAGUUUGGAUGGGAUAUCACAAGGAGGGCCAUGUGGCUGGAAAUCCUCAAGACAGGCCCUUGAGCACUGUGGAUGAGUGGAUCCUGUGCUGCGCACAUGAUUGUCUGAGUCUGGCCCUCUCUGAAUUGUUGCACAACACAUUAAAGGGAAGUUUUCUAAUACAAUGGAGUUUGCUCCGGAUAACUUUGCCCUUGCAAGGUGAUCAGGCAGACUGUUUUUCUCUUUUUUUUUUUCCUGGCAUAAUUAUGGCUAUAUUCCAGAAUGGGGGAUACAGUAGCAGUUGGCCAUUCUUUUCUGGCUGCAUGGGAAAGCAGAAUGGAUCUAGCUGGGCUUUGUGGGAGGAAAGGAGUAGUUUCUAGGUCCCCAUUAUUUGCAUAUUCAGUUUUCCUUUUUUACUUAAGCUAAUUUUAGUUGGGUUUCUUGCAUUCGGAGC
rnacentral:lncRNA from 1 species